rnacentral:lncRNA from 1 species
CAGGAUAUUUGAAGGGAGAACUACCAAGACACUACAGAAGGCUGGGAACAUGAUAUGAUAAUAUAAAGGAAAAAAAGGAAAGGAAAAAGUAGGAACAGGAAAUCCUUCAUAUUCAAGUCGCAGUUGUGGAUCCAAGAAGGUUGCUUGCCAGCAUGUCAAAUAGGAAAGCUCAUCUGUUAAAAAUACUUGCUGAAGAGCUUUUCAGCGUAUCCCAGAGCCAUCGAGGACUAAAUAAAUCCAUCAUCGUUCCCAUAGCACCACACCGUGGUCAGCUCUGGGAAAGGACUAUUCAGACCUUACAGGACUAUUCAACUUUGGUCAGUUUAUUUUUCAUCACAUAGAAUCCAGAUUUGCUCCUAACAAUUGUUAGCUUUAUUAAGUGGAAUUGUUUCAUGUUUUGUUUGCUAACUUAUGCUGGUGUACCAAC